UUUUUUUUUUUUUUUUUUUUUUUUAAAUUUCUUUUUUUUUUUUUUUUUUUUUUUUAGUUUUACAAUAUCCUUUUUUAUCCUUUUUUUUUUUUCCUUUUCUACAACUUCUAUAAAUUAUCCUGACCCACCCUCCUCUUAUGGAGAUGGCCUCCCUAACUCAGAGCAUAGCAAGUCGCUGCACCGCUGCACCCGCUGAAGUUAUCUCACUUCACCCUCAGCAGCCCUCCGGCAAGUAUUUUUAUCUCCAUUUUGCAUGUGAUGAUACAGAAACUCAAGAGGCUCCGUGACUUGCGAGCCACCGACCCCUUGCUUGCUCAAACUUGCUCCACUUCACAUCAGACCCAGUGCUCAGAAUUCUUAGAGACCCACAUGAAGGUGUGUUUCUUUUAAAAUCAAAAGUGAAUAAUGAACUUUUAAGACAAAACAUUGCAUCUGGCUUUCUAUCAGUACCACUCUAAAAUAUACCUGUUAAUAUUUGAAAAGAGAAGGGACCUAUGAAGGCUACCUUGCAGCCCCGGCUCAGCCCAUCCAGGCCCAGCUCUCCAUGGCGGGGCCCCUGGGCCAGGCAGCUGCCAGGCCACCCUCUGUCUCUACCUUAGGGAGAUUUUGAGAACCAGAAGCAAAUUCUUGAGGAGACCCAAGACUCACUCCCCUCUCUCUCUCUCUUUCUCUCUCAUCCUCUUGGCCUUUUAGGCCAUAAAAUUGGGCUUUCCUUCACUUCCAAGUUUAAAAGUCAGUUUUCUUUGCCCUCUCCAUUAAAGAAGCAGCCUGUGCUCAUUGUAGAGUUAUAGACACAAGACCAAGGAGAAGGGCACAGGAAGCUUCUCUCUAGAGCAGAGGUGACCUCAGGUACACAUGGACAGCCAGGCACCAGCUGGGAGGCAGUUCAGAAGGAGACCUGGGCAGAGAGAAAGAUGGAGGAUUUCAGGGUAAAGAGGCCACGCAGCUCAGGGUCCGAGGGGAGCUGCAAAGAGCCUGCACUGAUCAUGGGGUGGUAGAGCUCAGCACGGGAGCAGAGCCAGGCAGGAGGGCUAUGCUGGUCCAUGCCUAGAGGGGAGGCACAUGGCAUCUUGUUCAACCAGAUGUUACCCAGAUGUCUUAAUAUUAAUUCCAGUUUAGAAAUAUGGAAGCUGAGGUUCAAAGAAUUUACUUCCCCAUAGCCUUGCUGGGCAUCACUGGCCCCAUCCAGCCUUGAGCCAGGUGUGCCUCCACCCCAGGACCCUUGCCCCUCCACUCAGCUCUGCAUGGCCCUGAAGUCACUCUCCUGCCCCAGAAGAAAAGGCCUUUCUUUACCUACCUCCCCACCCUGGGUCAUUUGUGCUGGCUCUGUCCUCCCCUGCUGGACCCCACCCAGCAGCAGAGCAGCUGCUGCUGAAAUGCUCCUAGUGGCCGUGACCUGGCAAGCACUGCGGCCAGCCUACACCAGGGCUCUCUUCCCCGAGGAAGCCGUGGGCAGCUGCCUCUUGGGGUCACUGCAAGGGCACCAAGAGAGAAUAACACCCCCACCACCUGCCAACCAAUUCCAGGCUUGCCUCCCCCAAGGAACCAACCCCAGCUGACAGCCUGGCCUUUCAUUCAAACAUCACAAGCCAUGGGACCAUCACAAGCCACAGGACCGCUCCUUCCUUGGGUGUUAUCAUUUGCUGGGUGCUUUCAGGUCUGCUUCUUCUCUUCACUCAAGAGGCACUGCAUGCCCUCUCUGACAGAUGAAUGAAAUGAAGCUUGGAGAAGCCAGAAGUAGUGCUCGGAGCAGUGCUGGACAUGGGUCUCUGAUUCCCUUGGGAGAGCACUGUUUUUGCCACAGAUGCCCACUUAGCAGUGUUCUAAGUGGGGAUGGAUAGGGUGACAUUGAGGCACUGAUCCUAGGACUGCAGUCACCUGAAGGAACGGAGGUCCCCCAUCCCUGAAUCUCCAAAGCAGUGGCUGCCUACUGGGGUCUCUGCCCCAAACACACACACAUCGAAAUGAUGUCACAACUGCAGAUCUCCAGAGCAAUUAUUUUCAGAAGUGACAUUUCUACAAAUGCUCAUUCUUAGAUGAGGUUUGCAAAUAUGAAGGAGAUCAAAGCCCAUCCAUUGGACUGGGGUUGGGGAUAAGAGGCCUGGUGACCCCUUCCAGGGACCCCCUUGUGAUGGUCCCUGUCCAGUCAUCGCUGGACACUGAGGCCUCACGUAGCCCAGUUUACAGCCUCCUGGCUGGUGUCUUGCAGGAUGGCCACCUGAUGUCCAGUCACUGUUUGUCAUCAAUGAUGGCACUUUGGGGCUUGCAUCUCAGAGGGUUGUUCCACCUGACACAUUUCCAUCACAUUAAGUGCAAGAUGUUCUCACUGUGGUUAAAUACUUGCCUACAGCCAGACUAUACUGUGCACCCAGCCGUCACUCAUCCUACCAAUUAACUCCAUGAAAAAGGUUCUUAUCGAACUUCGAAAGUCUAUGAAGAAAAUUUGAAAAGUGAGGAAGGAAACUAGAUGGAUAAUUCCAUUACAAAAACAAUUUAUCCACAAACGCUUACAGACCGCCAUAUGCAAGAGAAACUCAGAGGCUUAUGAUGCGUCCACCCUUGUCUGCCCCAGGGAUUCAGGAGGAGAUGAGGAAAGGACUGAGACAAGGACCCUGCCCUCAAAUUAUCCUUGGGCUUCUGAGGCAGCAAGACAUACAUCAGGGCAGGAAUCAAAGCAUCCAACCCUCGUUGUGGGAAGUUUCUUUUCACACGAACUCUGGUUUCAGAUCUAAUUGCCUGUCUCCUUGUGAUUCUUCAAUAGGUAUUCAGAUAUUUAAAAAAUAACAAUAGUAAAAUAACUGCUCAAGUAUGCAUGGGUAUCUAAAAUUAGCUAAUCUCAACAGCUAAUAUUAAAUCAUGGUGAAUUUCUCCUUAACUAGAUAGAGGUUUCUCUUGCCUAAUUAAGACUUUGGGAGUUCCCAUUGUGGCUCAGCGGUAACGAACCCAACUAGUAUCCAUGAGGAUGCAGGUUCAAUCCUUGGCCCCACUCAGUGGGUUAAGGAUCCGGCGUUGCAGUGAGCUGUGGUGUAGGCUGGCAGCUGCAGCUCUGAUUUGACCCCUAGCCUGGGGACCUACAUGUGCUUUGGGUGUGGCCCUGAAAAAAAAAAAGACUUUGUACUUGAAGAAGUUGUUGACCAGUGUUGGUUGUUGAGAAUGUUCAAACUCUGGGGAAUGGCUUAGGUUACAGGGAUGUAAGCCCCACUCACCACCACCGCAUGUCUGUGUAGGAAAUGUGUUCUCUUUCAAAGAGAACAAAAUUCCCUUCAAAGGAGGGUUGAAGAAAGUUGGUUCCGAUGGGCUUUUGAACUACAUGUAUCUGUAUCAGGCUUUGGUAAUUACCACCCCCCAGGUCAUUUCCUAUUUAAGAAUCUCAGGGCUUCUGAAAAGCUCUUCCAGAACAUGCUAUUUUUCAAGAACUCAUUGGAGUGAAACGAUGUUUGUCACUCGCUGAGAGAGCAAACAGUGCUGGAGGAAGUCAGAACACAUCUUUGAGGACAUAGCAGUCGAAGGCAGAUGAAAGCCAUAGUUUUCCUUCCAAGUUCAGGCACGGCUGUGGGGCUGUUUCCCCAUUCACAGGCACUUCUUCCGGGCUCUGUAUAUCCUGAGGCCUUGGUCUCCAGCCAGCUGUGCUUUUGGUAAAAGCUAGCUCUGAGGCCACCCGGCCUGGAGGCACAGUUGUCAGUUCCUGGCCUCCUUGCCCCAAGGCUCCAGGAACAGAGGCUGAUUGUCUCUGAACAAAAGACUGACCUCUCACUGCCCUGCCCCCUGCCUGGGCCCCUGCUGUUCCUUUGAGCCCCCAGGGAUGGGGUCACCCCCAGAAGAAGUGAGCAGAGGGUGGGCCUCAGGUCCCCCUGUCUUUCAGGGACACUUGUUCUACUGCAGGAUGCUGCCCAUGCCCGCUCUGGCCUCCCUAGAGCAGGCUGUUGGUGCAGCCCUCCUGGAGCCACCUGGACAGACCAUUAGUCCCAUCCUGGGACCUGGCAUCUCCAAGCCCAGAAUUACCUGGAGAGUCUCUUCGUGACAGCCUGGCCAGUCAGCAGGCCAAGGGGGGUGCAAAGAGCUGAGUCAAAGAGGCCCAGGCUACAGUCUUCCCAGCAUAGAUGGCCUGAACCCCAUGCAAGCCUCACCCCAAGGCUUCACCAGAAAUUGCAUCCCAUGAUUUCAGAGGCUUCCAAAAGCCGGCCUCUGUGCAUGCACAUGUGAGCCUGUGACCUGGAGGGGUGAAAGCACAACCUGGAAUUACAGACACCUUCUCUCUGAGCACAGAGUGGUGAGGAGACCAACAAGGCUCCCACAGCUCGGGUCAGGAGCUGGGUGGCCCCCGCCUCAGUCUCCCUGACAGCGCAUGUCAGAGGCAUAACUUAAUUCGGCAACAGCCAGGUUCAUCGGCGGGACAACCUGAGAGGUUAUUUCAUCUGCUUUACAUUUACACACCGUUAUGUCUGGUCUGCUGAGCUAUGCAGUUAAGUGACCAGAACCACAUGAGUGCAGCCCAUGAGCUCACCCUGAGCGCCCCCUGCCCCUGGAUGACCAUCCCAGCAUGAGAAUCCAGGGGCCACUCAAAUACUUUGCUUCUUGUCUCCAGGAACCGCCCUGCAGGGACGUAGGCUGUGCACAUCCCUUUGUCCUUGGACCUGCUAGUGCCCCAAAGCUCAGGGGUCCUCACUCAGCCAUAGCCUUAUGCCAGAGGAGGGUGGGGGCAUGGAGAGGGCAUCAGCAUCUCCUGAGUCUCUCAAAGCGGAGGGCAGGUGUCCUUGCGCCCCCCGGGGAGGGGGGUGCCUUUAUACACCCCUUAGAAAGGGGGUCCGAGCCCCUCAUACAACUGGUAUCCAGAGUGUUCCCAGAAAAGGUGUAAAGGAACUGUCCCAAGGCCACACCAGUAACAAAUGGUAGAGGCAGCGGUACAGUGCAGGCACCUUUUGAUCCCUCCACGUCUCCACCCACAAGCUCACCUGCAGGCAGCAUAUCCUCCCCAUGAUGCUGUGUGCUUAUGUGCUACAAGUCCACGGACACAAGUGCUUCAUUCUUAAGUGUGUGCAUGCGCACGCGCGCGCACACACACACACACACACACACGCAUACAUACACAUACACAGAGGAUAUCUGACCCUGCCUCUUCGAUUCAGCUCAGGGCCCCCUCCCUCCUGAGCAGGGCUGCCCAAGCCUCUGCACCAGCAGGUGCACAGCUCAGCCCCCUAUGCAGCUUGGCUGUGUCUGCCUCUGUUUUUUCCCGAGUUUUUUUUCCCUUCCCUUUAUGCAUGCAUGCUGAUGGAAACAGCUCCUUCCCCCAGGCCUGCCUCUGAUAAGGUUCCCUCAGUUUCCAGCAAGUGGAGCUGAGCCUCUUAUCAGGCAGCAGCAGGGGAUCUGCACCACCACCCCCCAUCUGCACCGGGCAGGCUGGUGCUGAUAAAGCGGGCCUGGGCCCAGCACUCACCAGCUGCUUCUCAGCUUGUCCCCAGGGGGGACACAGAAGCAGGCAGUGGGAGCCAGGAAGUCUCUUCCCUUUCUUAGACACCAGAACUGAGUUCCAGUGACCACAGUCACCUGAUGGGGAGCAAGUUGGGGACAGAGGUCUGGCCAGGAUGCUGCAGGAGGAAUUACUCCUUAGGGCCUGAACAUGGCAGUGGGAGUUGGCUCCUCUUGGGGCCUAUCAGGAUCAGCCUUUGGUGUGAGUCCUCUUAGAAUUCCCUAUGGGGCAAGCACUGUUGUUCUGAUUCCUGGGUAAGAUGCUGAGCCCAGCAGACAAUUUGAAGGCAUUUGGCCUCAUAGGGCAGAUGGGAUGAGGUUUGCAGCAGGCUUGCCAGCCCCCAAAGCUCAGACUGCCCCCACCCCAGUCCUGGGGGCUCUGAUUUGAAGGAGAUCAAAGUCCUCACCCCCACCCCACCCCAACACACACCCCAUUUGAAGAUAGAAAUUCUACCUUCAAAUGUUAACUUCUUUUCCUUUAAGUUUGGGUCACUGGUAAAUGUCCUCUCUUUAGGGUAGGACAGACUGGGUUACCUGACUAUUUUGUGAAAAGUGACUUGGCCUCUCUGACUUUAGUUGUCCUGCCUAUUAUAUGGACUGUGUGCCAUGCCCUGCCAGGAGCACCCAGGAUUCCACAGCUGGAGGGCACCUCCCACCAGUGGCCGCCACUGCUUCCAUCAGUGGAGGCAGGGCCAGGGGCUGGCAGCAGGUCCAGCCAUAGACCCUCAUCUGGGUUUGAAUCCUGGCUCUGUCCUUGGCAACUGAGCUCUAGCCUUUUUAUAUUUACACCAGGGGUAGAAAUACCAGCUGCAGAGUUGUUGGGGAGUUCAGCUAAUGAGAAGUACUCGCCGCCUGUGACAGGCCCAGCAGAGGGAGUUUGGGGUGAGAAGUAUCUUGAGUGUGAGGUGAAGUGAGUGAGGUCCUAGCACAGAGCAGACCCAGGGAAGACCUCCAGCUGCCCUGUGCACAUGGAUGCACAGGAGGAUGGAGGACACUCCAAGACCAAGCUUCCAUACAGGGCAGGGUAGGCAGGGCCACCUGGCACCCUGGGCCGGUAAACAGAGCCUUCCCUGGAAGGUGCACCCCCCCCCUGCCCUGAGGGCCCCAUGGGAGGGGCUCAGAGUGGUGCACCAAGGCAGCCCUGUCAGAGCAAACCUCAAGGAAAGGAUCGGUGACACUGCCAAGAGGAUAAGCAGCUAAUGCAGAGCCACACAAGUGGUCUGCCCUGAGAUGGACACUGAGCUGGAGGUGUGAGGUUACAGCUGAAAUACCAAGCAACCAGCCUCCCCAGACACCAAGGCUGGGGAAUGUUAAGGGUGGGAGAAAGGGCAGGUGGGGGCAGGGCAGGAGGGCUGCCCAUGAGCUGGGGUCUGGGGAAGGAGCAGGGAGGGGUCCUCAGGUCUUUCCCCUGGAAUCAGUUAAAGCAUCAUUUGUGGUCAUGGGAGGCAGAGGCCUAACGUGUGUCAAGUUCUCUGCAGCCAAGAGGUCAACACAGAUGGCCUCUUGCCCAGCACCCAGCAGGUGCUCAGUGGACUGGUUCAGCCAGUACUGCAAACUCCUGCUUUCUUAACUUGUUGUGUGUGUGUUUCUCCUGCUGCAUGUCACCAGGCUGCCAGGAGGAGCUUUGUGUGAUAACCUUCCCUGUGCCGUUCACCCUGAAAAUUGCUGGACACCCAUGGGAAGAUGCCAUAGCCUCCCCUAUACCCCAGAGUCAUUUUGCUGUGCUUGCUGGGUCUGCUGUAGAAACAGGAAGUCACUUCCUCCUAGAAGGUCAGCACAGGUGCCUCCUAUGGGGGGUUGGGUUUGAACCAGUGAGGGUUCUUGUAUGGAUACAUGCUGGAGGGGCAGUGGAAGGACCAUUCAGAGGAGAGGGCACAGCAUGAGCCGGAACCUGGGAACAUAAAAUAGAAUCAGAGUCCAUGUGACUUUGUGGACACUUGCAUGGGACAGGCGGGAUGUGGACACUGAGAUGACAAUGGGGGAUUCUUGUACCUGUGGCUCUGGUUCUCCUCAGGGGAACCCCCUUUAGAAAGUCACAGAGUUUCUGGUGAAUUGACAGAGAACCAGGCAGUCUAUGAAGCUGGCAUGUGAUAUGGGGGAUGUACUUAUGCUAAAAAUCACGUGGUUAUUUAUCCAAAAGUCACACCUUGCAUUAUCUGACAACCAUAGGAGCAUGGGACCUAGACCUGGGUGUUUUUAAAGGGUCUGAUAUACAGAGCUGAGAACCAUGAGCAAGAGGCUUGCACUGCUGUGAGCAAGCCCACUGUCUCGUGUCCCAGGCCCGGUCCCCAAUGGCAAAGACUUCUGAGUAGAUGGAGCAUUCCCAGUCUUAGAAACUUCUCCUGGGAAGCUUUUGAGAUCUCCUUCUUACUCAUCCUUUCCAUCUGUCUCAUAGAUGCCUCUCACAGUGAUUAAAAACCUAUUUUUUAUGUAAAUUGGAAAGUCUACAAUCCAUCUUAAUUUUUUAAUACUUUAAACAAUGUAGGAGUUCCUGUUGUGGCUCAGCAGAUUAAGAAUCAGACAUAGUGUCUGUGAAGAUGUGGGUUCAAUCUCUGGCUGCUCAGUGGGUUAAGAGUCUGGCAUUACUGCAAGCUGAGGCAUAGGUCACAAAUACGACCUGGAUCUGGUGUUGCUGUGGCUGCGGCAUAGGUCAGCAGCUGCAGUUCCAAUUCGGCCCUAGCCUGGGAACUUCCAUAUGCCACAGGUGCAUUCCUAAAAAGAAAAAAA
rnacentral:lncRNA from 1 species